UCAAAGAUUAAGCCAUGCAUGUGUAGGUAUAAACAACUUGUAUUUGUGAAACUGCGAAUGGCUCAUUAAAUCAGUUAUAAUUUAUUUGAUAAUGACAUUUACUAUAUGGAUAGCCGUAGUAAUUCUAGAGCUAAUACAUGCGUAAAGGUCAGACCGUAAGGAAUGACUGUAUUUAUUAGAUCGAAGACCAAUAACACUUGCUGUCAAAGGUAAGUGAAAAUAGGUGAAUCAUGAUAAGUUUGUCGAAUCGAGGAAUUAUUUUCUCGAUGUGUCAUUGAAAUUUCUGCCCUAUCAACUUGAUGGUAGGAUAGAGGCCUACGAUGGUAUUGACGGGUAACGGGGAAUUAGGGUUCGAUUCCGGAGAGGGAGCCUGAGAAACGGCUACCACUUCUAAGGAAGGCAGCAGGCGCGCAAAUUACCCAAUCCCAAUAACGUUGGGGAGGUAGUGACAAAAAAUAUUAAUUCGUUUCUCUUCGGAGGGAUGAAAUUGAAAUGGUGUGGAUAUAUCACGUCCACAGAGAAACAAUUAGAGGGCAAGUCUGGUGCCAGCAGCCGCGGUAAUUCCAGCUCUAAUAGUGUAUACUAAAAUUGCUGCAGUUAAAAAGCUCGUAGUUGGAUUUGUGAUACUACUUAACUUAUUUGGUUUGGGGCAGAUGGUACUAAGUCUGUUCCUUAUGAUCAGUGGGUUGGUAGAAUCAUAUGAAAUUUUCGAAGGGGUAUAUUGCAUUUAACUAUGCCAAUAUGCCUUGUCGGAGAGUUUACUUUGAAGAAAAUGGAGUGUUCAAAGCAGGUAAAUAAUUGCAACUGAACACAUUAGCAUGGAAUAAUAAAAUAGGACACUGUGGAGCAUUUUUAUAUUGGAAGUGUUCCCUUUGCUUUAUUUCUCUUUCGGGGGGGAUGAAGUGAUGUCACUGUUUUGUUGGUCAACAGUGUGUGUGUAAUGAUUAAUAGGGACAGUUGGGGAUAUUGGUAUUGCAUCGUCAGAGGUGAAAUUCUUAGAUUGAUGCAAGACGAACGAGUGCGAAAGCAUCUAUCAAGGAUGUUUUCAUUAAUCAAGAACGAAAGUUAGGGGAUCGAAGGCGAUCAGAAACCGCCCUAGUCUUAACUAUAAACUAUACCAACUAGGAAUUGUCGGGUAUAAGGCACACCUAAGGGUGUGUUUUUAAAGUUACAUUUACGUGCUCUUGAAUGAGGACGUAAAUUGCCUCGCCAGCACCUGUUGAGAAAUCAUAAGUCUUUGGGUUCUGGGGGGAGUAUGGUCACAAGGCUGAAACUUAAAGAAAUUGACGGAAGGGCACCACCAGGUGUGGAGCCUGCGGCUUAAUUUGACUCAACACGGGGAAACUUACCAGGUCCAGACAGCGGAAGGAUUGACAGAUUGAGAGUUUUUUCUUGAUUCGGUGGGUGGUGGUGCAUGGUCGUUCUUAGUUGGUGGAGCGAUUUGUCUGCUUAAUUGCGAUAACGAGCGAGACCUCAACCUGCUAACUAAGCUUUCCGGUAGUUAUCGCUACUGGUUUAUUAAGCUUCUUAGAGGGACAACCACUUUUGAAGUGGGGGAAGCAUGAGGCAAUAACAGGUCUGUGAUGCCCUUAGAUGUCCUGGGCCGCACGCGCGCUACACUGAUUAAAUCAACAAGUAUAGAUAUAAGGAAACCCUUCGGGGUAGACUUUUCUCCUUGUCCGAAAGGAUCGGGUAAUCUUUUGAAUUUUAAUCGUGCUGGGGAUUGAUUUUUGUAAUUAUGGAUCAUGAACUAGGAAUACCUAGUAAGUGCAAAUCAUCAGUUUGCGCUGAUUACGUCCCUGCCCUUUGUACACACCGCCCGUCGCUCCUACCGAUUGAAUGAUCAGAUGAAAUGUUUGGAUUGUGACAAGGGAGGGGUAAAAACCUUCUCGUUGAUGCAAGAAGAACAGUAAAUCUUAUUAUUUAGA
rnacentral:rRNA from 1 species